rnacentral:rRNA from 1 species
CGACCGCUGGCGGCGUGCUUAACACAUGCACGUCGAACGGAAAGGCCCUGCUUUUGUGGGGUGCUCGAGUGGCGAACGGGUGAGUAACACGUGAGUAACCUGCCCUUGACUUUGGGAUAACUUCAGGAAACUGGGGCUAAUACCGGAUAGGAGCUCCUGCUGCAUGGUGGGGGUUGGAAAGUUUCGGCGGUUGGGGAUGGACUCGCGGCUUAUCAGCUUGUUGGUGGGGUAGUGGCUUACCAAGGCUUUGACGGGUAGCCGGCCUGAGAGGGUGACCGGCCACAUUGGGACUGAGAUACGGCCCAGACUCCUACGGGAGGCAGCAGUGGGGAAUAUUGCACAAUGGGCGGAAGCCUGAUGCAGCAACGCCGCGUGCGGGAUGAAGGCCUUCGGGUUGUAAACCGCUUUCGCCUGUGACGAAGCGUGAGUGACGGUAAUGGGUAAAGAAGCACCGGCUAACUACGUG